GACUCAGCUAUGGAAGCACAGGCCACCAGCUUACCUGUGGGAGUGCAGGAACCUGACUCAGCUAUGGAAGCACAGGCCACCAGCUUAGCUGUGGGAGUGCAGGAACCCGACUCAGCUGUGGAAGCACAGGCCACCAGCUUACCUGUGGGAGAGCAGGAACCCGACUCAGCUAUGGAAGCACAGGCCACCAGCUUACCUGUGGGAGUGCAGGAGCCUGACUCAGCUAUGGAAGCACAGGCCACCAGCUUAGCUGUAGGAGUGCAGGAGCCUGAUUCUACUAUGGGGGCAUGGGAACCUGAUUCAGUUAUGGAAGUAGAGGUCACCCAUAUAUCUGCUGGAGCUCAGGAGCCUGACUCAGCAGUGGGAGUGCAAGAAUCUGACUCAGCUGAAGGAGCACAGAUCUCUAACGCAGGCAUAAAAGUGCAGCCCAGCAGAAUGCAUGAGGCAGCACCAGUGCCCAGUUCCUCCAAGGACACCUGCAAACCUGUACAUUCUAAACUGUUUCACAAAACGAAAAGCCUUCUGUCUGUGGCAAAAAGCAAAAGUGUUAUUUUUAAAACCCCACAGAAAGACGAACCUGGAGAACUGGCACCAUCAGACUUGUUUCUUUACCUGGCUUUAAUUGAAAGUUGCCUUCCCUUGCCUGUUUCCACCAUUCAAAAAUUAUGCCUUAAGGGAGACAUAUUGUGCAGAAUACAAUAUUUUACACUGAGACAGCAAAAGAAGGAACAACUGCCUCAGCCACAACGCAUAAAGACAAUAUUACGCAUUCCUAAAUUAGAAAGAAUCCGAGGAACAGACUAUGUCACUUUCGANAGCCUGAGAGAUCUGCAGUGGAAGUUAUACAAGGGCCUGGUAAAACGGAAGCCGAAGACAAAGGGCGUGUGGAAAGCACCAACNUACAGUGCUGGAAUUGUGGCAGUGCAACCUUCCAAGGCUGUGGAAUACAUCCUCCCCUUGAUCCCAAAGGACUGGAUUAUUGAUGACUCUCUCAAGUUUUCAAGGCAAAUGGUUCCCUUUCUUAUGGAACAUUAAUUGGAUUCCUGAAAGGAGGCAAACAUCAGAAGUUCUAGAGAAAAUCCACCUGAAGUUCAUUAAAGAAGUUGUGGCAUUGCGUAUGCAGUGCAGUGCUAGAAAGCAAUUUGUUUGUAUCGGCUGCUGGGUGUGUUUUGGCAUUUGCCUAGACCAGGGCUAAUUUACUUGUGGCCUUCCUCAGAUGUUGGUGCAUUUCAGCUCUCUUCCACGGCAUCUUGCAGGGCUAAUGGCUGCAGAAUCCAAUCCAGCAACAGUGGAAAUGCCUUGUCUUCCUUAUGCCUGGUCUAGAUCAAGCACAGCCCUUUCAUGCUUCUGGCAUUGUAGCUUUCUGAUCUUUCUGAUUUUGCAUUCACGUUUUUGACAGUGCUGUCUUGCUAUCUACUUGAUUACUGUGUUUUUUAACUUUCUGAACUGUUUUGCCUAAGGCUGCAGCAAUAGUCAGGAGAACAGGGAGAGUUUGCUCUUCUAAUUUCCUUAUUGAAGAAUAGGAUAAUCUGGGUACAGGCCCAUCUCUGCCUGUGCAAACCAGUCAUGCCUUCCUCUUCACCAAAAUAAAAGUUUUAGCAAUAAACA
ensembl:lncRNA